rnacentral:lncRNA from 1 species
AAAAGAUCUUGUGGUUGCACAACAAAUCUUUUAUAAGUUUAAAGGUAGGAAACUCUUUUCAAUUGCAUCUCAUGCAAUUCUCAAUAAAAACCCUGGCCUCUAAAACAUUAAUAGCCUUGUGUUUACACAACAGACCAUAAUGUUUUAGUUAAGUAGGACUCUUCAUUUUAAUACAGUCAAAAUAGAAUAUAAAUACUUUUGUGGUUACACAGCAAAGCAUUAUACUCAAAAAUUGCUGUAAGCAUCUCGAUGCGUCUGAACAAUAUUAUGUCAAUUUCCAUAAUUGGUCUUGUGGUUACACAACAAACCUAAUAUGGUUCGUGACAUAAUAAUGUCCUAGCAUGAAGGAAGGCCAUAAUGUAGUGAAUAUAACACCGAGCAUCCCAGCCAAGAAUUAAAUUAAUCUAAUCAGCCAGGUAAGUGGGAGAGAGGUGGGGGUCUCCCUGUUGCUUUCCUUAGACACCAAUAAAUUUGGCC